UGAUACCCUAUUAUUAAAAAUGUAAAUUUUAAAUUUAUAGUAUUAUAAGUUAUGAUCUUUAAAUUAAAAGGAUUUGACGGUAAUUUGAUCAUUUUAGAGGAACCUGUCCUGUAAUUGAUAUUCCACGAUAAAUUUAACCUCAAUUAUAUUGUUUGUAUAUCUCUGUCUGCUGAGUGUUUUAUUAGAAAGAUUCUCUUACAUUUUAUAAUAAAUUUUAAAAUAUAUGUCAGGUCAAGGUGCAGCUAUAUUGAGGGUUGAGAUGGGUUACACUAAUAUAUAAUUUUGGAUUGAAUAAUGAAUUUUAUUCAUGAAAUAGGAUUUAAUUGUAAUGCUUAUUAUAU
rnacentral:rRNA from 1 species